rnacentral:sRNA from 1 species
UCGCAAUUGGCCAUUGUCAUGUAGGUGU